rnacentral:rRNA from 1 species
GUGGGGAAUAUUGGACAAUGGGGGAAACCCUGAUCCAGCAAUGCCGCGUGAGUGAUGAAGGCCUUCGGGUUGUAAAGCUCUUUUAUCAGGGAAGAUAAUGACGGUACCUGAUGAAUAAGCUCCGGCUAACUUCGUGCCAGCAGCCGCGGUAAUACGAAGGGAGCUAGCGUUGUUCGGAAUUACUGGGCGUAAAGGGCGCGUAGGCGGCCUUGUAAGUUAGAUGUGAAAGCCCCGGGCUUAACCUGGGAACUGCAUUUAAGACUGCAAAGCUAGAGGACGAGAGAGGAAAGUGGAAUUAUGAGUGUAGAGGUGAAAUUCGUAGAUAUUCAUAAGAACACCAGUGGCGAAGGCGACUUUCUGGCUCGUAUCUGACGCUAAGGCGCGAAAGCGUGGGGAGCAAACAGGAUUAGAAACCCCGGUAGUCC